AAACGAAGGCCGGAGCAGCCCUGCCUGUGGGGCUGUAAUGUUUUCUGCAGCCUUGAUGAGCCGCCCUGGGCUGUUUCAAAGGGAACGCAGCAGUCUCCUCUUGACUUCCGCAGUGGCCGUAUUCCUGGGCCGUGCGGUGGGUGUGUCUGCAGUCGCAUUCUCUGCUAGGCCGCCAGCCCGACUCUACAGAAUGCACACCUGGAGCCAUAUGGAAUCUCAGGAACCUGCAAGGCUUCCCUCCCACUACGCGGACUAAGGGCAAGGCUCUCAGAAACAUUUCUAGGAUGUAUGUGCUGCAAGUAGGAAGGCCAGUGGUUGAUUAGAAUGGGAUCGUACGAGUCCUAAUGGAUACGUAACGCUCGAGCAGCCGGUACAAACGGUGGGCCCUGCACGCCUCCGCUAAGUUACCUCUCACUCCACCUGUUCCACAUGGUUUUCGCUCCGCUGGGCCAAUGCCUCUACCUACAGCACGUAGAGGAACAUCAGACUGAUUUCUGCUGAACACUCCUUUUCAUCCCCCUAAGGGACAAUGCGGGUACCGUGUCCUUAGUUUUUCUCAAUCAUCUUUCUUAUUUUUCUUAAUUCCCUUAAGAACUCUGAUCUUGUUUCCCUCUCUUUGUUCUGUUUGUGAUCCUCUGAAAAUGACCCUACCCUUAAUUUAAUUAAAACGAGCUGUUUACCCACUAGAAUGAUACAGUUAAAAAGUUUGACAAUACAAAGUGUUGGCAGGGCCACAGAAUCACUGGAAUUCUUAAAUGUUGCUUAUGGGAGUGUAAAGUAAUACGUUUUAUUUGAAAAAGAGUUUACAGUCCCUUACAAAGUAAGCACACGACCCAGAAACUCUACUCCUAGGUGUUCGCACCAAGUAAUAAAAUUUAUGUUUUAAGAACAAGAAA
ensembl:lncRNA novel transcript